AUGAAGCUGAAUAGUUAAUCAUCUUGGCAUUUUCUAAAUGUUUCAUAUAGCACUAUAUGGUUAAAAAGCGGCUUUCUUUUAGUUUGUUGCCACUUCCUAUCUGUAGUAGACCAGCUGUUUGAUUUACCACAACUGUAAAAAAACGUGUUCAAAUAAUCUACUCUGGCUAAAUUGUAUUGAAUUUUUAGUGAUAAAUUUGCAAAAGCAUUGCCCUAUGCUACUUACAUUUUUCAAUAGAAGUUAGCUGGGUACGACAUAUUAUUUAUAAUUUUCAGGCUUGUUCAUAUUUCAGAGGUAAGGAUGAAAAUAUCUCUAGAAACUGCACCUACUCAAAGGCCACGCGGUUUCCUUGGUAUAUGGAGCCCUGUCCUAUCUGCUGUGGGCAAUGCAUUCAAAAUUCAGGUAACAUAACAUUAUUUACUGGCAAAUCAUUCUGGAGCCAAAGCAAAGUUGACUUAUGUACCGAAUCAUAUUUCUUGUCCAAUGCCCGUCUAACUCACGAAGGUUAUGAUGUAAACCUUGGUCCACAUUGGGAAAUACCAGACGUACUUACAUGCUAUCAUCUUCUAUUUUUAAUUUGAGCUCUUCCUAACUAAUAAAAUCUAUAGCGUCAAGAACUGGAACAAUAAGGAAACAAUCUAUUCUAUGAUUCUAUCUCAAAGGGACUCAUAUCUAUUCUAGCUCAAAGGGACUCAUAGUUUAAUCAGACUUCCAAAGGACUGCAUGCGUUCUUCCGCAGAAGUUUUAUGCACGUUCAAAUCGGUAACUGUUGCAGAAGUUAUAUUUCUUAACUACGAACUGCGAGGUGUAUUCCGUCUAAGGAACUGUAAUUUUAUCCUUGUUUACUUUAGGUGCAUCUAAGGAAGGUCAUGCACAAAAGCAGGUUUAUGCGGAAGAGUGCCAUUAUCCCUGCAUCUUAUAUUUUCAGUAGAGAGCUCCGCAAAUCCUUUACUGAGUGAUGAUAAAGCUCAUUUUGUCACCCCAAGUAAAUCUACAGAAAAUAUAAGAUGUUGAGGAUUGUGGAUGAGGUCUCUUUUGAUUCGGUUCACAAUGGAAGGAUGUUUAGCAUCUGGAGGCCUCUAUGCCCUAGUGGGUGUGUCUCAAUUGGAGAUGUUGCUCAUGUUGCAACCCAUCUGCCGCACUUUGCUGCUAUCCACAAAAAAUGUCAACGGGAAUUUUGUGCUUCCUCUCGUCUAUGAGCCUAUGACCUGGUCAGUGUUCAGAGAAAUCUUUUCUUGUAACAGGACCUCGCUGCAAUUCAUGGCGCUCCGUCAGCCAAAAGAGGAGUCUCCACAGAAGCCUAAGAAGAUAACAGAGCCGUAUCUCCAGCAAGCACUGUAAACUCUAUGAUCCUGUGAGGAGAGAAGCAGACAGCACCGUGCAUCGGAGAUAUGAAGAGCGAUGUACAUAAUGUAGGAAAUACGAGUCCAAGAAAACUUUGCCAGGCAUUUUUGUACAGAAGCCCAGCAUUAUGUGACUGAGCAUGGCUUUUUUGCGGGGGAAAGUAAUUUGUUGGCCUGGUUUUGCUUUUUCUGCUUAAUGCUUGGCUUACAGGCUUGAGUGUACAACUUUAGGCAGUAGAUGGGGAGAGUACACACUUCUUAGAUUUUUCC